UGCCGAUGUUUAGCAUUUAGGUGACUUCCAUGUGACCCAAAGACUCCAAUACCAAAUUUGUAUGACUACCCUAAACAAGCAGAUCACAUCUCUUUUUUAUUGGAUUCAAUUGAAUAUUAUAUUUUACAUCAUGUUUGGAUUAACACCUUUCAUGUCAGGUGACACUGAAUCCAAACCAUUGCCACAGGCUGUUCUCACAUUACCAGGCAAUAUGUGGUCUUAGAUUGGAUAUAUAACACAUAGCCAUGCAACAUGUUGUGUUCUGUUGUGUUCUGUUGUGUUCUGGCAGCACAGCAAAGCCAAACAACAAUGGAGGAGAGUGUGUGCAUGUGAGACAUUUUAGAAGACAGUCAAGUUCACCUGACAGUCAGAUGCAAGGUGAGUCAAAUCCGCCACAAAUCAGAAUUGACCACUGCUGUUAGUAAUGUGAAAGCAGCCAAAUUGUGCUACUAUCGCAGACAAAUCAGACAAAUUUUAGAGCUUUUAUUUUGUUAUUAGGGCCACCUGGUGGUGGACGUUGUUGUUGCCUGGUUUGACCAAAAAUUGGUGGUUCCAGUUUGUAUGUUCCACUCGUGUGUGUGUGUGUGUGUGUGUGUGUGUGUGUGGGUGGGUGGGUGGAUUCUCUGCAGGUGACAGACAUGACAGACAUGCAGAUUAGAGAUGUUAACCCAACUGUGUUUUUAGAAGCUUUAUCCUCCAGGUGUGCUCCAGCUGACAUAGGGCGAGAGGCGGUGUACAUCCCGGACAGAUCACAGGGCACCAUGACAAACUUCAUUUAAAAAAAUUCCACUACAAACUAUUUCAGGUUCUCACAACAGAAAUGACUCAGGCCUGUCAAACUGUAUAUUUGUUAUUAUUUAAUUGUUUAUUGUUUAAGUCGCAUACAGUAUAAUCUCUCAUUAGUUUCUAUGUUGCAGAAGUUUGUGGACUGAACAUCUGGAUUUUGUUGACCCUUUGGUCGGUGUUUAGGUUGGUGCGUUGUGGCUGAUCCGAUGAGAUUUGACCACCCGAUCUCCUUUGACCCGUGAUGUACUACAGUAUUAUAAGGUGAAACUUCAUUUCUAAAGGAGUUAUUAAGGGCCACAUCAGGGCUUCUCACACAGUUGAUAUGGGAAAAACAAAUCUUUCAAGUGCUUUUAAAAGUAAAAUAAAAUGUAUUAGAAUGAUUUAAAUAAAUAUAUAAUUAAAAUAAAUUGCUUUGCUUUUUGAUAUUGAUAAAAAACUACCCCCUUCCAGCACAGCCCAGGGUGUUAUUUAAAGCAUGUUAUGUAAAACUUUAAUGCAAGCUGAGGGAUUGUGAGAGUUUAAAAUCUGUUUCGAAGAUGGCGUUAGGGGAAAAGUUUACGAGUGUUUAUGUUUCUCAACUCCAGUCCAGGGAUUAUGUAACCAAAUGCUAGACAUGCUGAAAAGGUAAUUUCUUACAUCUCCAUUGUUGUUUGUUUCUUUGUAGGAGGUGUGCUUGUCCUCAUGAAAAUAUACAAAAAUAGGCAUUUUCUUUUUAAAAGGUAGACAUGGUCUCUGCAAGUUGUUGUUCAGCAUUUCUUGUUGCUCACUUGGGAUGAAAGGGAGCAUAAAUAGCACAGGGAGGAUGGGGACAGGAGGUGAGACACAGCAUGUCAAGGGGGCGAUUACAGAUUUUAUGAACACUCAGUACAUUUCUGCAGAUUUCUGCAGGUCCAAGUUAAUGCUUUUUUUGUAAACAAAACGAAAAACAGAGAAGGAAGGGCUUUGACUUGAAUGAUUGACGUUAGUCACAUAUUGAGAACUGACAAGAAUAAACCCAUGCCCAAACAUC